CUGACUCCCGUCCCUGAGUUUGCUUCAAAGAAGGAUCUCUAUGUUUACCUGUGUCACCAUCCCCUCUUAAUUGAUGCAGGUCGCAAGGUAAUAAUAAAUGAACAAAGAGGGAAAACAGUAAUCUAUUUUUUGAAUACUAGAGAAGUAAAAGUGAACAAGUAAUUGAUUGUGCAUUUCUUAUACUAUUAUUGAACAGAAUUUCUCACUGGAAAAACGGACCGGAAAGAAAUGUUACUUUGUAGGUGCAAGGGAUCUUGAUAUUCCAUUGGUUGAUAGACCAUCAUAUUGGAAAUGGACUUCACUGCCAGAGUCCAGGUUUGCGCGACUUUUUUUUAUUAAGAUCUUCUGAAUCAUUAUUUGUACUGACUGAUUUGUAGUUCAAAUAUAUUAUUACCUCAGUCCCAAUAUAUGUGAAAU
rnacentral:lncRNA from 1 species